GUUAUCUGCAAGUCAGGCGAGUUAGAGUGUGGUAAGCUUUGCUCUGCCAGGGAGCCUUUCCCAUCCUAUCCACCACAGCAGAGGAAGGUCUGCUCUCCUUUGCCAUGGUGGUUUUGAUAGUGCUGGGUCAUAGCUCUCCUGCCCAAACCUGUAUGGGGCUCGUGUACAGAACCUCAUUCUUUAUCCCAGGGAUAUGGCAGCAGUGUUCAGUGAGCCAACAGAGCUGAAAAUCCCCAAUGAAGGCGGUACGUCAUGAGAAGGCACACAGAGACAACUGAAAGUGGCAGCGAUAGUUUUCUGUCCUGAGGAGGAGUCAUUCAUGCAGAGGCUACAAUUUGGAAGGAGAAAGAGCCUCCAGAGAGAACCAGUGUUUCCUUGGUGCUGGUUGUAAAAUGAAGUCGGAGUGGUACCAUUCCACACUAAUCAGAAUAAUGAGUAUCUCUUGUCAAUAUAAUAUGGUUAAUGGCCAGGAAUGCUGGGAGCCACACGAUGCUGGAAGGCAGGUUUUCACUCCUUCUGCCUCUGACACAUGCCCAGUGUUCCUAGCUGUGAAGUGGCCAAGUCUCAUGGGGCUUCCACGGGAGUAA
rnacentral:lncRNA from 1 species